rnacentral:rRNA from 1 species
GACGAACGCUGGCGGCGUGCCUACUACAUGCAAGUCGAACGCAGUGGGGACGGGUGAGUAACACGUGGGUAACCUCCCAUCAGAGGGGAUAACACUUGGAAACCGGUGCUAAACCGAUACUGAUGGAUGGACUCGCGGUGCAUUAGCUAGUUGGUGAGGUAACGGCUCACCAAGGCCACGAUACAUAGCUGACCUGAGAGGGGGAGCGGGCACACGGGGACUGAGACACGGCCCAGACGCCUACGGGAGGCAGCAGUAGGGAAUCUUCGGCAAUGGACGAAAGCCUGACCCAGCAACGCCGCGUGAGUGAAGAAGGUUUGCGGAUCGUAAAACUCUGUUGGUGGGGAAGCGGUAUCUAACCAGGAAGCCACGGCUAACUACGUGCCAGCAGCCGCGGUAAUUC